rnacentral:ncRNA from 1 species
AGUAGGUGAGUGAUGGGGUGACGCAGGAAGGUAGUCCAUCCCGGGCGGUGGUUGUCCCGGGGUAAGGGUGUAGGACGCAGGUAGGCAAAUCCGCCUUGCAUACAGUCUGAGACCUGAUGCCGAGCCGAUUGUGGUGAAGUGGAUGAUCCUAUGCUGUCGAGAAAAGCCUCUAGCGAGUUUCAUGGCGGCCCGUACCCUAAACCGACUCAGGUGGUCAGGUAGAGAAUACCGAGGCGUUCGGGUGAACUAUGGUUAAGGAACUCGGCAAAAUGCCCCCGUAACUUCGGGAGAAGGGGGGCCACAACCGGUGAUCGGAUUUACUCCGUGAGCUGGGGGUGGCCGCAGAGACCAGCGAGAAGCGACUGUUUACUAAAAACACAGGUCCGUGCGAAGCCGUAAGGCGAUGUAUACGGACUGACGCCUGCCCGGUGCUGGAACGUUAAGGGGACCGGUUAGCUCCAUUUCGGUGGGGCGAAGCUGAGAACUUAAGCGCCAGUAAACGGCGGUGGUAACUAUAACCAUCCUAAGGUAGCGAAAUUCCUUGUCGGGUAAGUUCCGACCUGCACGAAUGGCGUAACGACUUCUCGACUGUCUCAACCAUAGGCCCGGUGAAAUUGCACUACGAGUAAAGAUGCUCGUUUCGCGCAGCAGGACGGAAAGACCCCGGGACCUUUACUACAGUUUGAUAUUGGUGUUCGGUUCGGCUUGUGUAGGAUAGCUGGGAGACUAUGAAACGCGGACGCCAGUUCGCGGUGAGUCGUCGUUGAAAUACCAGUCUGGUCGUGCUGGAUGUCUAACCUGGGUCCGUGAUCCGGAUCAGGGACAGUGUCUGAUGGGUAGUUUAACUGGGGCGGUUGCCUCCUAAAGGGUAACGGAGGCGCCCAAAGGUUCCCUCAGCCUGGUUGGCAAUCAGGUGUUGAGUGUAAGUGCACAAGGGAGCUUGACUGUGAGACCGACGGGUCGAGCAGGGACGAAAGUCGGGACUAGUGAUCCGGCGGUGGCUUGUGGAAGCGCCGUCGCUCAACGGAUAAAAGGUACCCCGGGGAUAACAGGCUGAUCUUCCCCAAGAGUCCAUAUCGACGGGAUGGUUUGGCACCUCGAUGUCGGCUCGUCGCAUCCUGGGGCUGGAGUCGGUCCCAAGGGUUGGGCUGUUCGCCCAUUAAAGCGGUACGCGAGCUGGGUUUAGAACGUCGUGAGACAGUUCGGUCCCUAUCCGCUGUGCGCGUAGGAGUCUUGAGAAGGGCUGUCCCUAGUACGAGAGGACCGGGACGGACGAACCUCUGGUGUGCCAGUUGUUCUGCCAAGGGCAUGGCUGGUUGGCUACGUUCGGGAGGGAUAACCGCUGAAAGCAUCUAAGCGGGAAGCCUGCUUCGAGAUGAGGACUCCCACCCACUUGAUGGGGUAAGGCUCCCAGUAGACGACUGGGUUGAUAGGCCGGAUAUGGAAGCACGGUAACGUGUGGAGUUGACCGGUACUAAUAGGCCGAGGGCUUGUCCUC